UACGAAGGGGGCUAGCGUUGUUCGGAUUUACUGGGCGUAAAGCGCACGUAGGCGGAUCUUUAAGUCAGGGGUGAAAUCCCGAGGCUCAACCUCGGAACUGCCUUUGAUACUGGGGAUCUCGAGUCCGGGAGAGGUGAGUGGAACUGCGAGUGUAGAGGUGAAAUUCGUAGAUAUUCGCAAGAACACCAGUGGCGAAGGCGGCUCGCUGGCCCGGUACUGACGCUGAGGUGCGAAAGCGUGGGGAGCAAACAGG
rnacentral:rRNA from 1 species